rnacentral:rRNA from 1 species
CCUACGGGGGGCAGCAGUGAGGAAUAUUGGUCAAUGGACGAGAGUCUGAACCAGCCAAGUAGCGUGAAGGAUGACUGCCCUAUGGGUUGUAAACUUCUUUUAUAAGGGAAUAAAGUGAGGGACGUGUCCCUUUUUGUAUGUACCUUAUGAAUAAGGAUCGGCUAACUCCGUGCCAGCAGCCGCGGUAAUACGGAGGAUCCAAGCGUUAUCCGGAUUUAUUGGGUUUAAAGGGAGCGUAGGUUGACAUAUAAGUCAGCUGUGAAAGUUUACGGCUCAACCGUGAAAUUGCAGUUGAUACUGU